AUGCGGUCCCGGGUUCUGUGGGGCGCUGCCCGGUGGCUGUGGCCCCGCGGGACCGUUGGCCCAGCCCGCCGGUCCCUGAGCUCCGGUAGCCCGCCGCUGGAGGAGCUGUUCGCUCGGGGCGGGCCCUUGCGGACCUUCCUCGAGCGCCAGGCGGGGUCUGAAGCCCAUUUGAAGGUCAGGAGGCCUGAGUUGCUGGCGGUGAUCAAACUGCUGAACGAGAAGGAGCAGGAACUGCGGGAGACUGAGCACUUGCUGCACGAUGAGAAUGAGGAUUUAAGGAAACUUGCAGAGAAUGAAAUAACUUUGUGUCAAAAAGAAAUAACUCAGCUGAAGCAUCAGAAGAAACAGAUGAAAAUGAUUUGAUCCUGGAAGUAACUGCAGGAGUUGGAGGUCAGGAGGCAAUGUUGUUUACUUCAGAGAUAUUUGAUAUGUAUCAGCAAUAUGCUGCAUUUAAAAGAUGGCAUUUUGAAACCCUGGAAUAUUUUCCAAGUGAACUAGGUGGCCUUAGACAAGCAUCUGCCAGCAUUGGGGGUUCAGAAGCCUAUAGGCACAUGAAAUUUGAAGGAGGUGUUCACAGAGUACAAAGAGUACCAAAGACAGAAAAGCAAGGCCGCGUCCAUACUAGCACCAUGACUGUAGCAAUACUACCCCAGCCUACUGAGAUUAAUCUGGUGAUUAAUCCGAAAGAUUUGAGAAUUGACACUAAGCGAGCCAGUGGAGCUGGGGGACAGCAUGUAAAUACCACAGACAGUGCUGUCCGGAUAGUUCAUCUUCCAACAGGUGUUGUUUCUGAAUGUCAACAAGAGAGAUCUCAGCUGAAAAAUAAAGAGCUGGCUAUGACAAAGUUACGUGCAAAACUGUACAGCAUGCAUCUAGAAGAAGAAACAAAUAAGAGACAGAAUGCUAGAAAAAUUCAGAUUGGAAGUAAAGGAAGAUCAGAGAAAAUAAGAACAUACAAUUUUCCACAGAACCGGGUCACAGAUCACAGAAUAAACAAGACACUGCAUGAUCUUGAAACUUUUAUGCGAGGAGAUUAUCUACUGGAUGAACUUGUACAGUCAUUGAAGGAAUACGCCGAUUAUGAAUCUUUAGUAGAAAUUAUUUCCCAAAAAGUUUAAGUUGAUUUGUUAUUUAUAGACUUUCGUAGCUUAGAAAAAUUCUACAGUACAUCCACAUAGGGUGAAAAUACCCUUAUUCUCUUAAAAAACAUGAGUUAACACAGUUGGAGGUAAUAUGCAUAUUCUGAAGUCAUAGAUAAUUUACACAGAUCUCUCUCAAUGCAUUAGCAAAAAUCAUACAAUAUACAGAUGGUCCUCAAUUUACAUUGUGGAUAAUUCCCAAUAAACCCAUCAUGGGUUAAAAAUGCAUAUAGCGUUAGCAACACAGCAGUCUCCUACUUAAUGACAGCUUGACUUAACAAUUUUCCAACUUUACCAUGGUGUGAAAGAGGUAUGAUUCCUAAGUCCUAAGGAGCUCCUCAGCUUGAAAUGGGGCUGCAUCCCUAUAAAACCCAUCAUAAAGUCAAAAAAUCCUAAAACAAGUUGGUGACCAUCUGUAAUCAUGACGUGGUGGUAAAUCUCGGACGCUUCCUUACAAUAAGUAGACAAAGGAAAAUCAUCCUUUACAGCCUACUCAGUGAUGGGGAAAUUCCCUGUCUUGCCCUGGGCCAGAGCUGGUGUACAGCUGGUGGAUCAGGUCUUACAAGCAAAGAACCUCACACUCUCGACUGGUAAGCCAGAAGCCUCUUGCUAGGGUGUGAGCAAAACUUGGACAGGAACUCUCAGUAGAUGUUUGUGUUUGUCAAGAUUCUCCAGACAAACUUCCUUAAAAGGAUUGGCUUGUGUUAUUAUUAAGUCUAACAAGUCCAAAAGCUGGAGUGUGAGGCAGGAGGCUGGAAACCCAGGAAAGCUGAUGGUGCAGGUCCAGUCCAAAGGUAUUUGUUGGAGGAUUCUCUUGUUCUGGGAAGAGGACGGUCUUUUUUUCUCUUCAGACCUUCACCUGACUGGAUCAAGCCCACUAACAUCGAGGAGGGCAGUCUGCAUUACUCAAGAGUUCACUGAUUGAUUUAAAUGUCAAUCUCAUGUAAAAGCACCCUCACAGAAACACCUAGAAUAAUGUUUGACCUUAUAAUUGGAAAAUCAGAGCAAAAGUUAAAUCUCUAAAAAAAAAAAGUAUGACCCAGUAGCUAGGAACCUGUGGCCCCACCAAGUUGACACAUAAAAUUAACUGUCACAGUAUCAUCUUAGAAGUGAAAGAAGCCCCUUUAUCCUGUAGUGCCCCUCUACCACCACCUACUGACAAAGAACAUGGUGCUAUCUGGCAUGGGAGAAAUGUUCAGUUUGCUAUGGCUUGUAUGUGUCCCCUCAAAUUCAAGUGUUGCCAAUGUGACAGCAUCAAGAGGUGGGGCCUUUAAGAGAUCACUAGGCCAUGAGGGAUUCUCUUAGGACUGGGAUGAAGGCCCUUAAUAAAAGAGGUUUCAGGGAGCAUCCUGCUAGCUUGCCUUCUGUAUGUGAGAACACAGCAAGAAAGCCCUAGUCAACAAGUGCCAGCUCCUUGAUCUUAAAGACUUCCCAUCCUCCAGAACUGUGAGAAAUACAUUUCUGUUCCUUAUAAAUUACCCAGUCUCCUGUAUUCUGUUAUAGCGGCACAAAAUGAAGAUACCAUACCUGAACACCUGAACAUUCUUCACAAGGUAGUAAAUGCACUGCUUUAUUCUGGUCUCAGUAUUGUGUGCUUAAUAACGAAAUGAGAAAGGGUGGAUCAGGGCAUAGGAUGAACAAGUUACUGCUAGACCUCUCACAAUGCCACUAAUGGAUAAGAUUGUACUUUCAUCAUUCUUGUCUCUUCGUUAGCUAACACCAUGCUAUAAUAGGCAAUAAAUAGAUGUCUAAAAACACCUUAAGUAUUUUUCUAGAAAUCUGGUGUAUUGUUCGAAAAGAACCAAAAUUCAACUUAAUUUCAAAGGGCCUGAAGCACUAGUUAAUCAAAAUUCAUUAGUUUUUAAUGGUACUACCACUCUCAAAUUUAAAAUGUCAUCUUACGUUCCUCUUCCUCGCAUUGGAUUUAUUGCUAAAACCUGGUAAACACUUUUAAUCUUUUUCAAUUCCAUUACCACUGCUCUUGUCCAGAAUUACUUCACAGACUACUUUAAUAGUCACCUGACUUCUCCCCUGCAUCCUAUUUGCUGUCUAAUUCUGGUUACAAAUAAGUAACUGCCAAACUAAUCUUUCUAAAAAGCAAGACUGAUCUCGUCACUCCUUUGCUCAACAAUGUAAAAGCUCCCAUUGUCUCCCAAAUAAAACCAGCUUUCCACUGUGUAUACAAUACAUCCA
rnacentral:sRNA from 1 species